CCUGGCUCAGAUUGAACGCUGGCGGCAGGCCUAACACAUGCAAGUCGAACGGUAGCACAGAGAGCUUGCUCUCGGGUGACGAGUGGCGGACGGGUGAGUAAUGUCUGGGAAACUGCCCGAUGGAGGGGGAUAACUACUGGAAACGGUAGCUAAUACCGCAUAACGUCGCAAGACCAAAGUGGGGGACCUUCGGGCCUCACACCAUCGGAUGUGCCCAGAUGGGAUUAGCUAGUAGGUGGGGUAAUGGCUCACCUAGGCGACGAUCCCUAGCUGGUCUGAGAGGAUGACCAGCCACACUGGAACUGAGACACGGUCCAGACUCCUACGGGAGGCAGCAGUGGGGAAUAUUGCACAAUGGGCGCAAGCCUGAUGCAGCCAUGCCGCGUGUAUGAAGAAGGCCUUCGGGUUGUAAAGUACUUUCAGCGGGGAGGAAGGCGGUGGAGUUAAUAGCUUCACCGAUGACGUA
rnacentral:rRNA from 1 species